rnacentral:rRNA from 1 species
UACGCAGGAUGCAAGCGUUAUCCGGAAUUAUUGGGCGUAAAGAGCGCGCAGGUGGUUGAUUAAGUCUGAUGUGAAAGCCCACGGCUUAACCGUGGAGGGUCAUUGGAAACUGGUCGACUUGAGUGCAGGAGAGGGAAGUGGAAUUCCAUGUGUAGCGGUGAAAUGCGUAGAGAUAUGGAGGAACACCAGUGGCGAAGGCGGCUUCCUGGUCUGUAACUGACACUGAGGCGCGAAAGCGUGGGGAGGCAAACAGGAUUA